CCAACAUUAAGACCCAUACCCUUAUCAAUUUUCAUUUUCACUCUUCCUCUGCUCCCUUGAAGAUCAGCGCCGCCAGCCCCUCUUCUCUCACGUGGCUCCUCCGACGAGACCAUCCAUCGCCGGCGAUAGUUUCCUCUCUCCACUCCCCGUCGCUCUCUCUCCUCUUUCCCUCCCCUCGUUUCCUCCCUUCUCAUUUAGGCGAGAAAUAACACCAGCUCCGACUAGCGACAGCAACCGACAACAGCCAGCAGCCGGCGAGGAAGGCGGUGCAGCGAGCAAAGGAGCAAGGCUGAUGCUCCUCAUUUUCCCCUCUCAUUUUCAGCGAAGCAGCAACAGCAGCCGGCGACGACACCAGCUCCAACCAGAAGCUAGGAGAGACACCGCGAGGACCAGCAGCAACAACUGCUCCGGCCAGCAGUCCGGUGGAACAAACAGCAACAUCAACAACUCCGGUGAAACAAAUAAGGUAGCAAGAACUCCAGUGAAGUUGAAGUUCUAGUCUGCUAAAGACGAAUCUUCUCAGAUUCACCUUGGUUUGUUUUCUUGUUCGAUCUACUAUUUAAUUUCUCUGUGAAUUAGUGAAACUGUGUCCCUUAUUUCUUAAUCGCCAAAAUGUGUUUUUUUAAGCAUGAAAUCGGUGGUAAUUUUCAAAUUUUAUGAAUUGUCUCGUGUUAAUAAUAUUAGUUUGAGUGUAUUGUGUUAAUAAUAUUAGUUGGAGUGUUAACAGAACGAGAUUUACAUAUGGCUCGUGUAAACAUUAUUUCUGUGGUUUGUUCUUGCUAUUUACUUGGAUAACACAAUUUUGAAUAUUUCUGGUGUGAGAAAGUCAGCAUUCUACUUCUUGAAUCCUGUUUACUCGACAGGCAAAAGUGGAAAUAAGGUGAAAGGUAACCAAAAUUUAUCAGUACCUUAAUAUCGAAUUUUGAUCAUACUGUGGCAAAACUUUAAGGCUGUUCAUUUUGUGUUCAGAGGGUAGUGUUUGUAGUUGCACAGGUUCAGUGCCAGCGUUGGAUAGUAUUAUACCAGAUGACGAAGAUGUUCUUGAAGAAGAAAACAUUGUUAAACGGCAAGCUAUGCAAGGUGAAGUUGAUUCUAAUGUUGCAGUUCAACUACAUGGCCUUGCAAAGAUAUUUGCUGGAACAACAUAGAUGGGAUGUUGUAAAUGCCAAAGGAAAUCUCCUUUUCAUGCCAUCAAGCAAGUUUGAACACAAGUUCAAGAUAUGGAGAGCCUCCAUAGGAGGGAAACACUAGACAAGCUAAUUUUAUUUAAUUUGGGUUUUGUAUAUUAUUUAAUUUCUAUUAUUGUCUUGUAAUUAUUUGUAAACUCUAACUCUCUCUAUAUAGUGUAUGUUGUUAAUUUUAAUUUG